GGGCGUAAAGGGAGCGUAGGUGGAUAUUUAAGUGGGAUGUGAAAUACUCGGGCUUAACUUGGGUGCUGCAUUCCAAACUGGAUAUCUAGAGUGCAGGAGAGGAAAGUAGAAUUCCUAGUGUAGCGGUGAAAUGCGUAGAGAUUAGGAAGAAUACCAGUGGCGAAGGCGACUUUCUGGACUGUAACUGACACUGAGGGGAG
rnacentral:rRNA from 1 species